AGAGCGAACGCUGGCGGCAGGCUUAACACAUGCAAGUCGAGCGGGCGUAGCAAUACGUCAGCGGCAGACGGGUGAGUAACGCGUGGGAACAUACCUUUUGGUUCGGAACAACACAGGGAAACUUGUGCUAAUACCGGAUAAGCCCUUACGGGGAAAGAUUUAUCGCCGAAAGAUUGACCCGCGUCUGAUUAGCUAGUUGGUGAGGUAACGGCUCACCAAGGCGACGAUCAGUAGCUGGUCUGAGAGGAUGAUCAGCCACAUUGGGACUGAGACACGGCCCAAACUCCUACGGGAGGCAGCAGUGGGAAUAUUGGACAAUGGGCGCAAGCCUGAUCCAGCCAUGCCGCGUGAGUGAUGAAGGCCCUAGGGUUGUAAAGCUCUUUGUGCGGGAAGAUAAUGACGGUACCGCAAGAAUAAGCCCCGGCUAACGUUCGUGCCAGCAGCCGC
rnacentral:rRNA from 1 species